GCCUGGUUAGCUCAGUUGGUUAGAGCGUGGUGCUAAUAACACCAAGGUCAUGGGUUCAAUCCCUGCUCACUGCA
rnacentral:tRNA from 1 species